AGGACCAGUGCAAACUUAAAUUGCAGGG
rnacentral:piRNA from 1 species